rnacentral:rRNA from 1 species
UACGUAGGGGGCAAGCGUUGUCCGGAAUUAUUGGGCGUAAAGAGCGCGUAGGCGGUCCGAUAAGUCGGCUGUGAAAGUCAGGGGCUCAACCCUUGGAAGCCGGCCGAUACUGUCGGACUAGAGUCCGGAAGAGGCGAGUGGAAUUCCGGUGUAGCGGUGAAAUGCGCAGAUAUCGGGAGGAACACCAAUGGCGAAGGCAGCUCGCUGGGACGGUACUGACGCUGAGGCGCGAAAGCGUGGGGAGCAACAGGGAUUAAGAA